CUUGGAGGAAAAUCUGCGCUCCAGCAGCUGGGACCGAGGCAUGAGAGCGUUGAAUCAUGAGUGGCACCGUUCGCAAAAAUUGGUGUCUUUGUACAAAGACAGUGCCACAACACAACUCAGUGACCAUCGGGAGAGCAGCCUCAUGAUGGGCGAUGCUCCAUCAGUUUUCUCUUGCGAUCUUUUGCAUAGAUCGGUCCCGCCCCGCAUAUGGCGAUGAGGACUCAAGAGACACGGAAAACGUUUUCUUUCUGGAAAACAUGAAAUAGGCUUUGUAGAUGGACAGGAAGUCAAGGGACAAGCGGUGCGCCGCAGAGAGCGAGGACCCACUCUUCUAUUCCUUUGCGGAGGCACGGACACACGGUGUGGCCCGAAACAGCGGCAGGAGAGUGAGACCCGGGCUCCGACCGCGGUGACGGAGUCUCACUCUGUCACCCAGGCUGGAGUGCAGUGGCACGAUCUCGGCUCACUGGAACCUCCAACUCCCUGGUUCAAGCGAUUCUCCUGCCUCAGCCUCCCGAAUAGCUGGGACUACAGGUGCCCACCACCACACCUGGCUAAUUUUUUGUAUUUUUAGUAGAGACGGGGUUUCACCGUGUUAGCCAGGAUGGUCUCGGUCUCCUGACCUGGUGAUCCGCCCGCCUCGGCCUCCCAAAGUGCUGGGAUUACAGGCAUGAGCCACUGCGCCCGGCCUAAAAAUUUUUUAAAUUGUAUACAUUAUGGUUUUUUUUUUUACCACAAUUUAAAAAAUUAAUUUAUAAUAUACAUGCAGAAAAAUGCACAAAUGACAAGUAUAUAUCUUGAUGAAUUUUCACAAAUGGAAUACAUUUGUGUAACCAGCAGCAGAUCAAGAAACAGAACAUUGCUAGUGCCCCAGAAGCCACUUGUGUGUUCCCUCUCAGUCACUGCUCUUCUCAAGGACAACCACUCUUCUGACUCCUGAUACCAUAAACUAAUUUUGCCUGUUCUUGCUUUUUAUAUAAAGAGAAUCACAGAGUAUGUACUCUUUUGUGUCUGGCUUCCUUUGUUCAAAUUAUUUCUGUGAGAUUCAGCCAUAUUGUGUAUAGUUUUAGUCCCUUCAUUCUGACUACUGUGUGGUAUAAUAUUGUGAGGCUAUAUUGAACCAUAAUUUACUCUUCUAUUCUGUUACUGUUAUUUUGGCUGGAAUCACAUAUUUUUAGAUUAUCUAAAGGAGAAUGUAUGAUAAGAAUCUUCCUAUCUUCCUAUACAUUCAAGUCAUUGGUACCCCAUCAGUAGAAUUUUAGUUUUCAUUAUGUAGAAUUUACAUACUUCUUAUUAAAAUUAUUCCUAGGUAUUGAGUGCCUUGAUUGCUAUAGCUAUUUUUACUUUAAAAAAAGUAAAAUGGUAGUUCAAAUCCAAGGAAGAAUGUGUCCAGUGUUGCUAUAAAAAUACAGACCUACUUUAUGGGUCCAUCUUCUUCUAGCUCCAGUGAAGGUGGGAUGGGCAAAAAAGAGGAAAUGAAGUCCAAAAAGGGGGUUACACUUUAUAGUUAAACCACAAGAGGAAUUUAUUUCUUUUUUAAGACAGAGUCUUGCUCUGUUGCCCAGGCUUGGGGCAAUGGCAUGAUCUCUACUCACUGCAACCUCCACCUCCCGGGCUCAAGCGAUCCUCCUGCCUCAGCCUCCCAAGUAGCUGAGACUACAGACAUGCACCACCACACCCGGCUAAUUUUUGUCUUUUUAGCAGAGAUGGGGUUUCACCAUGUUGCCCAGGCUGGUCUCCAGCUCCUGGGCUCAAGGCAUCCACCUGCCUUAGCCUCCCAAAGUGCUGGGAUUACAGGAGUGAGUCAGUGUGCUCAGCCUCACAGGAGGAAUUUCUUAAUCAGAGCAGUGAAAAGCCAGGUGGCAUCACUUUUCCCGGAUUUUUUUUUUUUUUUUUUGAGAUGGAGUCUCACUCUAUCAUCCAGGCUGGAGUGCAGUGGCACGAUCUUGGCUCACUGCAACCUCUGCCUCCCGGGUUCAAAUGAUCUUCCUGCCUCAGCCUCCCGAAUAGCUGGGAUUAUAGGUGCACACCACCACACCCGGCUAAUUUUUGUAUUUUUAGUAGAGAUGGGGUCUCACCAUGUUGCCCAGGCUGAUCUUGAACUCCUGAUCUCAGGUGAUCCACCUGCCUCAGCAUCCCAAAGUGCUGGGAUUACAGGUGUGAGCCACUAUGAUCUUAUUUUAAAAUGAGAUUUAUUUGAUCUUAUUUUAAAAUCAGAUUGAAUUCUAACUUGCUGGGUAGGGAGGUUGGGGAGCAGAAGAAAUAACUUCGAGUGAGCUGAUGCCAAACUCACCCUCAAGUCACUGUACAUUUGGGAUUUGUCAUCUCAUUUCUCCUCUCAGAUCCCAAAUCAGGAUUGAAAGAUUGAAUUGUGAGAUGCUGGGAUUGAGUGAAUUGUAAUUUCUUUAUUCUCAUCUCCAGUCCUAAGAGUCUAUUCUCUUUCCCUGAAGGGUGUUCUGAACAGGCUGUGGGAGGCAUUAGGUGGAGUGAGUUAAGAUAAGUUCUGGGUUUCCCAGAGGGUUCAGUGAGCAGGUGUUCCCUUUAGUAAACUGAAGCAGGAAAGAAGAUCUUAGCUAGGGAUCUGGGCAGUGAGGGGCUCUGAAAUACAAGGAGCCUGGCUCCGGAGCCUUGGCUGCCCACAGAGUUCCUUCCCUGUACAACAUACGAAUGAUUCAUUCAAGUGCUGUUCAGCUGUCUGAGUCUGAAAAACAGCACUCAUCUCUCCUGUUGCCCAUCGUAGGAGUCACCCCCUCCUCCCCACUUAAGCCUCUUCACCAGAAACCAGCGACUGGGAGCAGAGCCUUAGUGUCCUCACUUAUGCUGGUGCUACUAUUCAAUCUUUAGGCCAGAUUUAAUUGUGGCAGAUGCCCUAGGAAAGAAUUCUCCUCAGCCUCUCUGACCACCACCACCCAGCUCUAUCUUCCUACUUAAUUCCCCUUACGAAGCAAUUUGGAGGAACAGGACCCAGGAGUCCCUGUUUUCAGAUACUCUCCAGCCUGAGUCACCACCGUACUGACUUCUUACAGCAAGAGUUCCACCCAAAGUCUCUUGCCUCUCCCUCAGAUGGGUGCUGGUGGGAGAAGGGGACAGGGGAGGAGAGAAUGAUGGAGCAUUUUUGUGUGUUUUCUUGCUGGGCCCAUUGUAAUACCUGCUCUUACCUGUGCUAACAUCCACUUUGAACGGUAGUCCUUCUCAGCCUUUUCUCUUUGCCUCUAAUGGACCCUGGGGAGCAAAGGUGGCCUGAGGCCUCAGUUUCUGCUGCAACCUGUGGCUUCUUAUAGCAGAAUUUUUAACCUAUAUUCUAUGGAGUCUGUGAUGGCUUCAGAAUAACUGGAUAAUUUACAAACAUUUUUGUUCACAGCUUGCAUCAGGGAUUCUCAGAGGGAUCUGUGACUCAAAAAAAGUUGAGGAUCAUUGCUUAGCCGGGCUCUCAUCUCCUGAAUCAGGGAUCCAGCACAGCACAGGAAAUAGAAGUCAGAAAUAGAGAAAGAUUGUAUGGGGGAAGGAAAUGUGAAGUGCUGAGAUGGUGCCACAGCAUCUUUGGGUCCAGAGUUCUCUCUCAGCUUAGGUAAGACCAUGUCUGAGAUGGAAGAGAGAGGGGUAGAAGGAGAGCAGGAUGGAAUGUCCUCAGAAAGGUUCUGUCAAGCAGGGGUAGGCAGAAGGUAGGCAGAGUCAAAUUCUUCUCCAAUCUGAAGUAGCUCACAGAUUGUUCCACCAAUCUGUGCAACCUCUCUCUAACCUAGGAGGUUGUUGAGGUUAGAACCCAGAAAAGAACUAGGAAAUGUGAAGCCUCCAUUUCAGAGAAUCCUUUGCUGGAAGCCAGGCAUUUCACUGAAGUCCAUUUACUCCCUGGAAUUUCUGCUCCUUUCUAUCAGUCCCUGAGGCAGAGGCUGUAAGGACAUUGGGAGAGGGGACUGAGAAGAAAGAGUAAAAACAAAGAAAAACCCCAACAUCCUGAAUCAGGUGCAUUAGAGUUAAUGAAGAAUGUAAGGACCAAUAACUUAGCCCAGUCCCCACUGAAAGUUCAGAGUGGAUGCAUUGGAAGAUUUCUCCUUUCUUACAGGUCGUGUCCUGCAACUGAAAGGCCCUGGGAGAGAGAGCCGUGAGGGCAUGGCAGUGAGGAUGGCAGUGUGGUGGAAAGGGGGAGUUUUCAAUCAGACAGCCAUGAGCUCAAAUAGCUAGUUACUAUUUACUAACUAGCUCUGUGCACUUGAGCACUUACUCUCUUUGACCUUUAGUUUCACCAGCUAAGAUGCCUCUCUACUUUAUAGGGUUGAUGUAAGGAUUAAAUAAGAAAAUAUAUAUAAAGCCACUGACAUAGAAUAGGCCCUCAAUAAAUGUUAUUUUCUUCUCUUUGAACUGCUGUCCCACCCUGGGCAGAGCCUCCAUUAGAUUGUCCCCAUGAUGUGGUACCAUACAUCCCUGCACAUGGGCCACAAAACUUCUGCAUACACACCACCCACUCAUGUCCUUGGCUGCAUUUGCACACUCAUCAGCACACACACAGCAGCCUGUGCCAUCACAGCUGAGCUGAGGGCAGUCUUCCCGACAGGUAAGAUGAGGGACUGGCAUGCUAACGCUUGGACAAGCUGUGGAAGUGCUCAUCAUAGUAAGCUUGUUUCCUGAAUGGGCUUCACCCCUCAAAAGUGUUCUGGUAAAGCUGUGAAAGGAGACUAAGGGGCUGUGGUGGGACUAACUCCAUAGGCAUUUCCUUGAGAUUAAAUGUGUUUCUUGAGGGAUACUUUGUCCACCCACCACUGCCAAGGAGACCUUAGUCUAUACGCCAGGUUGCAAUGUCUGAAGCUUUGCUGUCCAAUAUGGUAGCCAUUGGCCACAUGUGGCUAUUGAAUGCUUGUAAAGGUAGGUGGUACAGCUGAGGAAUGGAAUUUUAAAUUUGUUUAAUUUAAAAUUUAAGACAGAGAUUCGAUUCAGUUAUUGGAAAAUGUUUUAUGUUUGAAAAAACUUAGAUGUGUGAAUCCACUUUCUCAACAGUGACCUGUAUGAAAUAUAGAUUUUUCUGGUGAAAAUUUAGUAACUGAAUUGCGAUGUUGAGAUGUACUGUAAGUGUAAAAUAUACACUGGAUUUUAAAGACCUAAUAUGAAAAAAUGUUAAAUAUUUUAUGAUUGAUUUUUAUAUUGAUAAUAUAUUGAAAUGAUAAUAGUUUGGGUAUAUUGGGUUAAAUAAAGUAAGUAUUUAAAUGUAUCCGUUUCAUUUUGAUUUUUUAAUUUAGUAGCUACUAGAAAAUUUGAAAUUACAUGUGUGACUUAGAUUCUGUGUCUGUUGGGUAGCUCUGCUCUGGAGACUUUGAGACUUCAGAGACCUUGGGCAGCAGCAUGUUCUAGAGGAUCUCUCUGACAUCCUGAUUCCCCCACUGGGGAGCUUGG
rnacentral:lncRNA from 1 species